CCUACGGGGGGCAGCAGUGGGGAAUUUUGGACAAUGGGCGCAAGCCUGAUCCAGCUAUUCCGCGUGUGGGAUGACGGCCCUCGGGUUGUAAACCACUUUAGUAGAGAACGAAAAGGAGCUAUCGUAUAAAGACCUCUGCUGACGGUACCUUAAGAAUAAGCACCGGCUAACUACGUGCCAGCAGCCGCGGUAAUACGUAGGGUGCGAGCGUUAAUCGGAAUUACUGGGCGUAAAGGGUGUGCAGGCGGUUUAGUAAGACAGAUGUGAAAUCCCCGGGCUUAACCUGGGAACCGCAUAUGUGACUGGUUGGCUAGAGUGCGUCAGAGGGAGGUGGAAUUCCAGGUGUAGCAGUGAAAUGCGUAGAUAUGUGGAAGAACACCAGUGGCGAAGGCAGCCUCCUGGGACGCAACUGACGCUCAUACGCGAAAGCGUGGGGAGCAAACAGGAUUAGAUACCCUUGUAGUC
rnacentral:rRNA from 1 species